CACUCCUGCGGGAGGCAGCAGUGGGGAAUAUUGCACAAUGGGCGCAAGCCUGAUGCAGCCAUGCCGCGUGUAUGAAGAAGGCCUUCGGGUUGUAAAGUACUUUCAGCGGGGAGGAAGGCAAUACGGUUAAUAACCGUGUUGAUUGACGUUACCCGCAGAAGAAGCACCGGCUAACUCCGUGCCAGCAGCCGCGGUAAUACGGAGGGUGCAAGCGUUAAUCGGAAUUACUGGGCGUAAAGCGCACGCAGGCGGUCUGUCAAGUCGGAUGUGAAAUCCCCGGGCUCAACCUGGGAACUGCAUUCGAAACUGGCAGGCUUGAGUCUUGUAGAGGGGGGUAGAAUUCCAGGUGUAGCGGUGAAAUGCGUAGAGAUCUGGAGGAAUACCGGUGGCGAAGGCGGCCCCCUGGACAAAGACUGACGCUCAGGUGCGAAAGCGUGGGGAGCAAACAGGAUUAGAAACCCGGGUAGUCCCAUG
rnacentral:rRNA from 1 species